CACAAAUUAAAAUAUGAAGGCUUCGGCUGGAUUAUUUUAUCACCCUUGUCUUUUGCGCACUUGUUGUUUCCUGGGCGGGUUCGCCCGCCACCAGGACCACACCAUAAACCUUUUUUUAUGCAGUUGCAAUCAGCGUCAGUAUAACAAAUGUAAAUCAUUUA
rnacentral:misc_RNA from 1 species